rnacentral:rRNA from 1 species
UACGUAGGGUGCAAGCGUUGUCCGGAAUUAUUGGGCGUAAAGAGCUCGUAGGCGGUCUGUCGCGUCUGCUGUGAAAACUCAGGGCUUAACCCUGAGCUUGCAGUGGGUACGGGCAGACUAGAGUGCGGUAGGGGAGACUGGAAUUCCUGGUGUAGCGGUGAAAUGUGCAGAUAUCAGGAGGAACACCGGUGGCGAAGGCGGGUCUCUGGGCCGUAACUGACGCUGAGGAGCGAAAGCAUGGGGAGCGAACAGG